GACGAACGCUGGCGGCGUGCUUAACACAUGCAAGUCGAACGGAAAGGCCCUGCUUUUGUGGGGUGCUCGAGUGGCGAACGGGUGAGUAACACGUGAGUAACCUGCCCUUGACUUUGGGAUAACUUCAGGAAACUGGGGCUAAUACCGGAUAGGAGCUCCUGCUGCAUGGUGGGGGUUGGAAAGUUUCGGCGGUUGGGGAUGGACUCGCGGCUUAUCAGCUUGUUGGUGGGGUAGUGGCUUACCAAGGCUUUGACGGGUAGCCGGCCUGAGAGGGUGACCGGCCACAGUGGGACUGGGAUACGGCCCAGACUCCUUCGGGAGGCAGCAGUGGAGAAUAUUGCACACUGGGCGGAGGCCGGAUGCAGCAACGUCGGGUGCGGGAACACGGCCUUCGGGUAGUAAACCGCUUUCGCCUGUGACGAAGCGUGAGUGACGGUAAUGGGUAAAGAAGCACCGGCAAACUACGU
rnacentral:rRNA from 1 species